AGCAUGGUCUUAGCUUGCUAAGACUGAUGGCGACCGGCGCACGGGUGAGUAACACGUAUCCAACCUGCCGUCUACUCUUGGACAGCCUUCUGAAAGGAAGAUUAAUACAAGAUGGCAUCAUGAGUCCACAUGUUCACAUGAUUAAAGGUAUUCCGGUAGACGAUGGGGAUGCGUUCCAUUAGAUAGUAGGCGGGGUAACGGCCCACCUAGUCUUCGAUGGAUAGGGGUUCUGAGAGGAAGGUCCCCCACAUUGGAACUGAGACACGGUCCAAACUCCUACGGGAGGCAGCAGUGAGGAAUAUUGGUCAAUGGGCGAGAGCCUGAACCAGCCAAGUAGCGUGAAGGAUGACUGCCCUAUGGGUUGUAAACUUCUUUUAUAAAGGAAUAAAGUCGGGUAUGCAUACCCGUUUGCAUGUACUUUAUGAAUAAGGAUCGGCUAACUCCGUGCCAGCAGCCGCGGUAAUACGGAGGAUCCGAGCGUUAUCCGGAUUUAUUGGGUUUAAGGGGAGCGUAGAUGGAUGUUUAAGUCAGUUGUGAAAGUUUGCGGCUCAACCGUAAAAUUGCAGUUGAUACUGGAUAUCUUGAGUGCAGUUGAGGCAGGCGGAAUUCGUGGUGUAGCGGUGAAAUGCUUAGAUAUCACGAAGAACUCCGAUUGCGAAGGC
rnacentral:rRNA from 1 species